rnacentral:rRNA from 1 species
CAGUAGCCGCGGGAAUACGUAGGGUGCAAGCGUUAAUCGGAAUUACUGGGCGUAAAGCGUGCGCAGGCGGUUUGUUAAGACAGAUGUGAAAUCCCCGGGCUCAACCUGGGAACUGCAUUUGUGACUGUAUAGCUAGAGUACGGCAGAGGGGGAUGGAAUUCCGCGUGUAGCAGUGAAAUGCGUAGAUAUGCGGAGGAACACCGAUGGCGAAGGCAAUCCCCUGGGCCUGUACUGACGCUCAUGCACGAAAGCGUGGGGAGCAAACAGGAUUAGAUACCCCUGUAGUCCCUGUCUCUUAUAC